AGGCUUUUCUUUCUUUCUAUUACCUGAAAAAAAAAAUAGUAGGCAGGGGUGAGCGCCAAACUCAAUGAGUAGGGUUAGAUAACCCUCUCACCCCACACAAUCACACAGAUGCUAAAUAUUUUUAUCUAGUUACCGUUUAAUUAUAUGAUCAUGCAGUUUGUCACACAAAUGGCAAUACAACAGCAAUCACAAGUAUUAUCACCUUCAUAUAAUCACAUCACGUGGAAAUUAGUCAGUGGAGUCACCGAACCCC
rnacentral:lncRNA from 1 species